CCUACGGUGGGCAGCAGUGAGGAAUAUUGGUCAAUGGCCGAGAGGCUGAACCAGCCAAGUCGCGUGAGGGAAGACGGCCCUACGGGUUGUAAACCUCUUUUGUCGGGGAGCAAAGCGAGUCACGUGUGACUCAUUGAGAGUACCCGAAGAAAAAGCAUCGGCUAACUCCGUGCCAGCAGCCGCGGUAAUACGGAGGAUGCGAGCGUUAUCCGGAAUUACUGGGCGUAAAGGGCGCGUAGGUGGGCGCUUAAGUCAGGUGUGAAAACUCCGGGCUCAACCUGGAGACUGCACUUGAAACUGGGUGUCUUGAGGGCAGGAGAGGAAAGUGGAAUUCCUAGUGUAGCGGUGAAAUGCGUAGAUAUUAGGAGGAACACCAGUGGCGAAGGCGACUUUCUGGACUGUACCUGACGCUGAGGCGCGAAAGCGUGGGUAGCGAACGGGAUUAGAUACCCGAGUAGUC
rnacentral:rRNA from 1 species